rnacentral:rRNA from 1 species
AACGAACGCUGGCGGCAUGCCUAACACAUGCCAGUCGAACGAGACCUUCGGGUCUAGUGGCGCACGGGUGCGUAACGCGUGGGAACCUGCCUUUAGGUUCGGAAUAACUCAGAGAAAUUUGAGCUAAUACCGGAUGAUGUCUUCGGACCAAAGAUUUAUCGCCUCUAGAUGGGCCCGCGUUGGAUUAGCUAGUUGGUGGGGUAAAGGCCUACCAAGGCGACGAUCCAUAGCUGGUCUGAGAGGAUGAUCAGCCACACUGGGACUGAGACACGGCCCAGACUCCUACGGGAGGCAGCAGUGGGGAAUAUUGGACAAUGGGCGAAAGCCUGAUCCAGCAAUGCCGCGUGAGUGAUGAAGGCCUUAGGGUUGUAAAGCUCUUUUACCCGAGAUGAUAAUGACAGUAUCGGGAGAAUAAGCUCCGGCUAACUCCGUG